AUUGAACGCUGGCGGCAGGCCUAACACAUGCAAGUCGAACGAGCGGCGGACGGGUGAGUAAUGUAUGGGGACCUGCCCGAAGGAGGGGGAUAACUACUGGAAACGGUGGCUAAUACCGCAUACUAUCGGAUGAACCCAUAUGGGAUUAGCUAGGAGGGGGGGUAAAGGCUCACCUAGGCGACGAUCUCUAGCUGGCAUGAGAGGAUGACCAGCCACACUGGAACGGUGAAACGACCCAUACGGCUCCGGUAGGCAGCAGUGGUAGACAGUGCACAAUAGGCGGAGGUCUGGUGCAGCCAGGCCGCGGGUAUGAAGAAGUCCUGAGGGUUGUAAAGUACUUUCAGCGGGGAGGCGUUACCCGCAGAAGAAGGACCGGCUAACUCCGUGCCAGCAGCCGCGGUAAUAC
rnacentral:rRNA from 1 species